ACCUUCGGGCCUCUUGCCAUCGGAUGUGCCCAGAUGGGAUUAGCUAGUAGGUGGGGUAACGGCUCACCUAGGCGACGAUCCCUAGCUGGUCUGAGAGGAUGACCAGCCACACUGGAACUGAGACACGGUCCAGACUCCUACGGGAGGCAGCAGUGGGGAAUAUUGCACAAUGGGCGCAAGCCUGAUGCAGCCAUGCCGCGUGUAUGAAGAAGGCCUUCGGGUUGUAAAGUACUUUCAGCGGGGAGGAAGGGAGUAAAGUUAAUACCUUUGCUCAUUGACGUUACCCGCAGAAGAAGCACCGGCUAACUCCGUGCCAGCAGCCGCGGUAAUACGGAGGGUGCAAGCGUUAAUCGGAAUUACUGGGCGUAAAGCGCACGCAGGCGGUUUGUUAAGUCAGAUGUGAAAUCCCCGGGCUCAACCUGGGAACUGCAUCUGAUACUGGCAAGCUUGAGUCUCGUAGAGGGGGGUAGAAUUCCAGGUGUAGCGGUGAAAU
rnacentral:rRNA from 1 species